rnacentral:rRNA from 1 species
GAGGGGCAGCAUAUAGAUUGCUUGCAUUUAUGAUGGCGACCGGCGCACGGGUGAGUAACGCGUAUCCAACCUACCCAUUACUAGGGAAUAACCCAGCGAAAGUUGGCCUAAUGCCCUAUGUAGUCGUUUGAUCGCCUGAGAUUUCGACGAAAGAUUUAUCGGUAUUGGAUGGGGAUGCGUCUGAUUAGCUUGUUGGCGGGGUAAAGGCCCACCAAGGCAACGAUCAGUAGGGGUUCUGAGAGGAAGGUCCCCCACAUUGGAACUGAGACACGGUCCAAACCCCUACGGGAGGCAGCAGUGAGGAAUAUUGGUCAAUGGGCGAGAGCCUGAACCAGCCAAGUAGCGUGCAGGAUGACGGCCCUAUGGGUUGUAAACUGCUUUUAUAUGGGAAUAAAGUGAGGGACGUGUCCCUUAUUGUAUGUACCAUACGAAUAAGGACCGGCUAAUUCCGUGCCAGCAGCCGCGGUAAUACGGAAGGUCCAGGCGUUAUCCGGAUUUAUUGGGUUUAAAGGGAGCGUAGGCUGUUUGUUAAGCGUGUUGUGAAAUGUAGGAGCUCAACUUUUAGAUUGCAGCGCGAACUGGCAGACUUGAGUGCGCACAACGUAGGCGGAAUUCAUGGUGUAGCGGUGAAAUGCUUAGAUAUCAUGACGAACUCCGAUUGCGAAGGCAGCUUACGGGAGCGCAACUGACGCUAAAGCUCGA